GUUUGCGAGUGGCGGGUGGUAAUCGUCUGCUUGAUGCUUCAGGUAAUCUUGCAUGGUCAGCCCUAUGCCCGCUAACAUGUCGUCCAAUAUGUCAACUGCUUACGUGGAUCCUCGUUUCUUGGAUUGUCUGAUGUCAGCAUAGUGACGUCACUCUUGUCUGUUGCGAUCUUUGUCAUCACGGGCCGUUUGCCUCUCUCGGUCUCACCCGGACAAC
rnacentral:lncRNA from 1 species